rnacentral:rRNA from 1 species
UACGUAGGGUGCGAGCGUUUAAUCGGAAUUACUGGGCGUAAAGUGUGCGCAGGCGGCCGCGCAAGUCGAGUGUGAAAUCCCCCGAGCUUAACUUGGGAAUUGCGCUCGAAACUACGUGGCUGGAGUGUGGCAGAGGAAGGUGGAAUUCCACGUGUAGCGGUGAAAUGCGUAGAGAUGUGGAGGAACACCGAUGGCGAAGGCAGCCUUCUGGGCCAACACUGACGCUCAUGCACGAAAGCGUGGGGAGCAAACAGG